UCUCCCGUAUGAAUGUGUAAAGUUUAUUAGUUAGCGCACGGCUCAUCAUGAGCCAUUCCCCUGGGCCCAGGACAAUGCGGAUUCGUCCUGGGCAUUUUUUC
rfam:Pseudoalteromonas ruthenica strain S3137 contig0007, whole genome shotgun sequence.